GUGUCAGCCGCCGCGGUAAUACAGAGGUCCCAAGCGUUGUUCGGAUUCACUGGGCGUAAAGGGUGCGUAGGUGGCAGGGUAAGUUUGAUGUGAAAUCCCCGGGCUUAACUCGGGAACUGCAUUGAAUACUAUCCUGCUUGAGGAUCGGAGGGGAGACUGGAAUUCUCGGUGUAGCAGUGAAAUGCGUAGAGAUCGAGAGGAACACCAGUGGCGAAGGCGAGUCUCUGGACGAUUCCUGACACUGAGGCACGAAAGCUAGGGGAGCAAACAGGAUUAGAAACCCGCGUAGUCC
rnacentral:rRNA from 1 species